CUGGCCAGGGCUGCCUCCCCACCCCGGGCCGCGCCGCCUCCCUGCCCGGGGCGGAGUAAACAAGAGAUGUGCAAGAUUUGACCUGGCGCGACCCAGCUUUCUGGCCGGGGUUCCCCCAGAGCAGGGAUCUGAGCACAAGUCAUGACAUGGACAUUGGAGAAUAUGAGACUCUCCUAGCUAGAUACAGUCUUAUAUAAUGACAUGGGAAGAGUCUUAGUUAAAGUAGAUUCAUACUAAAUAAAACGCCUGUUCUGUUGUU